rnacentral:lncRNA from 1 species
UUUAAAUGCAUCUAAUCCAGCAUUUCCACAACCUCUUUGAUGGCUCCUACGAUCUGAUGAUCUCUAAGAUCGGUUCCAACCGUGACUUCAUGGGCUGCUCUCAACCUAACCAUCUCAGAGGAAGAAGCCGCGGCUAGGAAGGGGCCAGGCGGGGCAUAUGUGCAGAUGCUACUCGCACGCCUUCCAUGUGCCACUGGCCCCAGGAGGAGACCACAGAGGUGGUCUAGGCUUAGCCUCAGAACAAAACGAGACAAGAUACAAGCAUGUGGCAGAUGAAGAGACGAGGCUGAGAAAGAGCCCAGGACAAGGUGGUGACAAAAGCAGGAUGCAGGACCCAAAUUCCCCUUCGAGAGCUCUUCCUCCUCCAGCCGGGAAAUUCCGUUCGGCUCAUUGUCUUUGGCCUCAAACUCCCGGGGGAAGGGACGGAACCUGGGAGGCUGAGGAAAACCAGAUGCCUAAUCGAUGCUCCUGCAUUUGACAAGGGCGCUGGGGGUGGACGGGCCUGGAGCUGCGCGGCAAACAUUUCAGACUCUUUUGCAUCCUGAAAAUGGCUCUGGGUGUGGAGACAGCCCGGGGAGGAGGCCGUCUGGGACCAUAUGACGCUUGCCAGUGGCAUGAAGGCUGUUAGAGCCAUGGUAGCAACAUUACUUACCCUCCUCCCUUCUCUUGAACAGUGACGAGGCUCCCCCCACUUCACGGGAAGCACACGAAAUCUGGCCCCCAGAGAGGUGGGAUUGAAAACCUGACAGUUUGGACAUACAGCCCGUGGGCAAUGUUUCCCUUCUCCCGGGCUUGUGUCUGUGCCAAGAAUUCCUAACAAAG